AUUGAACGCUGGCGGCAUGCCUUACACAUGCAAGUCGAACGGCAGCACGGGUGCUUGCACCUGGUGGCGAGUGGCGAACGGGUGAGUAAUACAUCGGAACAUGUCCUGUAGUGGGGAAUAGCCCGGCGAAAGCCGGAUUAAUACCGCAUACGAUCCACGGAUGAAAGCGGGGGACCUUCGGGCCUCGCGCUAUAGGGUUGGCCGAUGGCUGAUUAGCUAGUUGGUGGGGUAAAGGCCUACCAAGGCGACGAUCAGUAGCUGGUCUGAGAGGACGACCAGCCACACUGGGACUGAGACACGGCCCAGACUCCUACGGGAGGCAGCAGUGGGGAAUUUUGGACAAAGGGCGAAAGCCUGAUCCAGCAAUGCCGCGUGUGUGAAGAAGGCCUUCGGGUUGUAAAGCACUUUUGUCCGGAAAGAAAUCCUUGGCUCUAAUACAGUCGGGGGAUGACGGUACCGGAAGAAUAAGCACCGGCUAACUACGUG
rnacentral:rRNA from 1 species